rnacentral:rRNA from 1 species
UGGGGAAUAUUGCGCAAUGGGGGAAACCCUGACGCAGCGACGCCGUGUGAGGGAAGAAGGCUUUCGGGUCGUAAACCUCUGUCAGGAAAGAAGAACCUCUCAAGGCUGAACAAGCCUUGGGACUGACGGUACUUCCAGAGGAAGCACCGGCUAACUCCGUGCCAGCAGCCGCGGUAAUACGGAGGGUGCAAGCGUUAAUCGGAAUCACUGGGCGUAAAGCGCGCGUAGGCCGUCUUUUAAGUCGGACGUGAAAGCCCUCGGCUCAACCGGGGAACUGCGUUCGAUACUGGGAGACUUGAGUCCUGGAGAGGGUGGCGGAAUUCCGGGUGUAGCGGUGAAAUGCGUAGAUAUCAGGAGGAACACCUGCGGUGUAGACAGCUUUCUGGACCAAAACUGACGCUGAGGCACGAAAGCGUGGGUAGCAAACA